rnacentral:rRNA from 1 species
ACGCUCGACAGUGUCAGCAGCCGCGGUAAUACGGAGGGUGCAAGCGUUAUCCGGAUUCACUGGGUUUAAAGGGAGCGCAGGCGGAUUGGUAAGUCAGUGGUGAAAGGCUUGGGCUUAACUCGGGAACUGCCAUUGAUACUAUCAGUCUUGAAUAUUGUUGAGGUUUGCGGAAUGGGUCAUGUAGCGGUGAAAUGCAUAGAUAUGACCCGGAACACCUAUUGCGAAGGCAGCAGGCUAAACAAAGAUUGAACGCUGAGGCUCGAAAGCGUGGGGAUCAAACAGGAUUAGAUACCCUGGUAGUCCACGCCCUAAACUAUGAUUACUCGACAUACGCGAUACACUGUGUGUGUCUGAGCGAAAGCAAUUAAGUAAUCCACCUGGGAAGUACGACCGCAAGGUU